GAAAUGCGAUAAGUAGUGUGAAUUGCAGAAUUCAGUGAAUCAUCGAAUCUUUGAACGCACAUUGCGCCCUAUGGUAUUCCGUAGGGCAUGCCUGUUCGAGCGUCGUUUACACCUUCAAGCCUUGCUUGGUGUUGGGUGACUGUGGCCCCUUUGGGGCCACUCGCCUUAAAGUCAUUGGCGGCCGGUUCGUUGGCUUUGUAGCGCAGCACAAUUGCGUCCUCGAAGCCGCUGGACCAGCUCCCAGAAGCUAAUUUUAAAUGUUUGACCUCGAAUCAGGUAGGGAUACCCGCUGAACUUAAGC
rnacentral:misc_RNA from 1 species